rnacentral:rRNA from 1 species
AUUGAACGCUGGCGGCAUGCCUUACACAUGCAAGUCGAACGGCAGCGGGGGAUAAGCUUGCUUUUCCUGCCGGCGAGUGGCGAACGGGUGAGUAAUACAUCGGAACGUGCCCUGUAGUGGGGGAUAACUAGUCGAAAGAUUAGCUAAUACCGCAUACGACCUGAGGGUGAAAGUGGGGGACCGCAAGGCCUCAUGCUAUAGGAGCGGCCGAUGUCUGAUUAGCUAGUUGGUGGGGUAAAGGCCUACCAAGGCGACGAUCAGUAGCUGGUCUGAGAAGACGAUCAGCCACACUGGGACUGAGACACGGCCCAGACUCCUACGGGAGGCAGCAGUGGGGAAUUUUGGACAAUGGGCGAAAGCCUGAUCCAGCAAUGCCGCGUGUGUGAAGAAGGCCUUCGGGUUGUAAAGCACUUUUGUCCGGAAAGAAAUGGCUCUGGUUAAUACCUGGGGUCGAUGACGGUACCGGAAGAAUAAGGACCGGCUAACUACGUGCCAGCCGCCGCAGUAA